UACGUAGGGACCAAGCGUUUUCCGUAAUCAUUGGGCGUAAAGAGCGUGUAGGCGGCUUGUUAAGUCUUGCGUGAAAUCUCGGGGCUCAACCCCGAGCGGUCGUGAGAAACUGGCAGGCUAGAGUGCGGGAGAGGAGAGUGGAAUUCCUGGUGUAGCGGUGAAAUGCGCAGAUAUCAGGAAGAACACCCGUGGCGAAGGCGGCUCUCUGGAACGCAACUGACGCUGAGACGCGAAAGCGUGGGGAGCAAACAGG
rnacentral:rRNA from 1 species